rnacentral:rRNA from 1 species
GAUGAACGCUGGCGGCGUGCCUAAUACAUGCAAGUCGAGCGAACGGACGAGAAGCUUGCUUCUCUGAUGUUAGCGGCGGACGGGUGAGUAACACGUGGAUAACCUACCUAUAAGACUGGGAUAACUUCGGGAAACCGGAGCUAAUACCGGAUAAUAUUUUGAACCGCAUGGUUCAAAAGUGAAAGACGGUCUUGCUGUCACUUAUAGAUGGAUCCGCGCUGCAUUAGCUAGUUGGUAAGGUAACGGCUUACCAAGGCAACGAUGCAUAGCCGACCUGAGAGGGUGAUCGGCCACACUGGGGCUGAGACACGGUCCAGACUCAUAAGGGAGGCAGCAGUAGGGAAUCUUCCGCGUUGGGCGAGAGCCUGGCGGGACAACGCCGCGUGGGUGAUGAAGGUCUGCGGAUCGUAAAACUCUGUUAUUAGGGAAGAACAUAUGUGUAAGUAACUGUGCACAUCUUGACGGUACCUAAUCAGAAAGCCACGGCUAACUACGUG